GACGUGCACUGCCGUCCUCAGCAUAGCUCCCUGUUCCCGCGUGUUUAUGUGGCACCCGCUGCGUGUGUAACUGCACCCCUGCCGCUUUUUUUUCCUCUCCUUUGCUGCCCCGCUCCACACAGCGACUCACCUCAUAGCUGCAGAGACCGUCGCGGGCACUCGCCUCGCGACCUGUAUCGCCCUGUUCCCAAUUUCUCCGUCUCACAACACUCGCCAUGUCUACCUACGCCAACUCGCAGGCGCGGCUGAAUCGCGUUGCGCCACAGCUGCGCCCAGCUGGUGUCCAUGGAGACUGGACGGAGGCCACGACGGCGGAGCUGCUCUCCAGCUACAACCCCAGCGGCAUCAUAACGCCGGAUCACAUCCGCUCUUUUCACCACCGCGGCUGCGACGUCGGUGAGCAGCGGCGCCAUUGGGGCCUCGCCAAGGACGCCCCAGUGGACCCGAACAUGCGGCACGGCGUGAAGGGUAAGGAGACGGGCGGCGCCGAUGCGUGCCUGCGGCCGGAGAUGUAUGCGGACAAGAUGACAGCGCUUCUAGACGCCCAGCGUGAGAGCCAAUACCUCAGCUACCGUCGCAAGCCUCUUGGUCACGCCCCGGUGCCUCGGGAUCCGGUGCCGGUCCCCUUCGGAGGCUUCGGCAUUACGCAGAAGAAGGGCGACUCGACGCAGUCGGUGCUGGCAGGGUAUCGUUCUGUCGACGUGCUGCACCCUGCAGGCGAGCAGCUGACGCGCAACUACGACUGGGAAAGAGCUGGCAUCGACCCCACUCAACAUCGCUUCGGCAAGCCCUCUGCCCGCUCUGACGGCACGACCGCCGCAGCGCUGUUCAACGACUCCGCCACGCAGCUGACGUCUAAGCUAGCGAAGGACUACGAAACCACAGUGGCGAAGGAGCUGGGCAAGUCGAAGAGCUACGGCCUCGAUGACCCGGCUGAGUGGGACGAGGAGAAGCGCGGGAGUGUCACCAAGUUCGGCGCAACAGGAACGGCGGCGAGCUACUUCCAGACAGAGCAGCCAACUGUGCGGGAGUUGCUAUCGUCCUGGGCACAAACGGCGUCCGGGUCUAGGACUGAUAAAGCCGCUUCCGGUAAGUCUGGCCAGCAAGGCCUCACCGGCUUUGCCGAGGCGGCGGUGGCCGCUAAGGCUGACGCAUCCGCGGCUGCGCCGGUGGCCAGUGGCCCGUCUCUGACCGGGCCACUCAAGGACGAAGUUCGUGCGCACCAGCUGCUGUACCCCUGCCACUACGUCUCCCUCGGGGUGGAGUCGAAGUACUUUGCCGGGGGUCGCCCUCUCGAGGACAUCCGCCGGCUCUGUCACAAGUGCGGCUUUGGCAUGUCGGAUGCUGACAUCGAUGCCGUAUUUGCGAUUGUCGCCAAGGGCGGUAGCACGUGCAGCAUCGAGGAGUUCAAAAAUGCGGCGCGCGCGAGAGGGUACAUGUAGAUAAUGAUGAAAGGCGCGCAGAGUAUCGAGUAAGAGAGCCUUUACGCCUGCUGCAUGCAUGAGUCGAGGGAGGUGUGCGUGGGCGGGGAGUCGACCCGGGGACCGGAGAGCAGCAGCGCACAAAACAAAGCCCCCCCCCGCCCCGCCCCGCCCUCUGCGGAGGAGGGCGGGGUGCUUUGCCCUUAGGAGUUGUUCCUACCCGAUCCUUCUUGCUCCCUCUCGGCCUUCCUCCGCCCGCAUUCUUCAUUCACCUGCACCGACGCCUUCGACCUCUCUUUAUGUGCUCCUCCCCUUCUAGAAACCAAUGUUACGUGUGAUGUACAAACAUGAGCAACACCAUCUAUGGGGUGACAAGGAAGAGGAGGCGGGAGAAAUGUUUGGGAAGAGGGGGGAGGCAAGCAACGCCGGUGGUCACGCCCACGCCCACGCCCACGCCCACACACGCGCGCUUUUCUGUGUCCUCUAUCCUGCAUGCUUUCCUUUUUCUUUCUUUCCGCUUGUUUCGACCCCUUUUCGUGUUCUCCUCCUCCUAGUGCAUGGAAAGCAGAAGAGGCAUCCGCAUACUUACAUGCGCACAAGUUGUCAGCGAAGUCACUUCGACUGCACAAUCCGUCUUUCUGUGCGAAAAGCUGGGUGGGAUAAGUGGGGACGAGGAAGGGACACGCAGGCUUGCGCGCGCGGGCGGCACGCCACCAUCCACCCCCAUCGUGCGCGCGCACACGCACACAGGUGAUUUUACACGCACGAAUAG
rnacentral:misc_RNA from 1 species